rnacentral:rRNA from 1 species
GGCUAAUCUGCCCUUAGGACGAGAACAACCCCNGGGAAACUGGGGCUAAUUCUCGAAUAGGCGAAGAACUCUGGAAAUGAGUCUUCACCCCAAUAGAGCCUGCGUUAUCCUCGUAGGUUUCGCCUAAGGAUGAGGCCGCGACCGAUCCAGGUUGUUGGUGAGGUAAUGGCUCACCAAGCCUUUUACCGGUGCGGGCCGUGGGAGCGGGAGCCCGGAGAUGGGCACUGAGACAAGGGCCCAGGCCCUACGGGGCGCAGCAGUCGCGAAAACUUUGCAAUAAGCGAAAGCUUGACAGGGCUAUCCCGAGUGCCAUCCGCUGAGGAAGGCUUUUACCCAGUCUAGAACGCUGGGGGAAUAAGGAGAGGGCAAGUCUGGUGUCAGCCGCCGCGGUAAUACCAGCUCUCCGAGUGGUGUGGAUGUUUAUUGGGCCUAAAGCAUCCGUAGCUGGCUAAGUUAGUCCCUUGUUAAAUCCACCGAAUUAAUCGUUGGAUUGCGGGGGAUACUGCUUGGCUAGGGGACGAGAGAGGCAGACGGUAUUUUCGGGGUAGGGGUGAAAUCCUAUAAUCCCGGGAAGACCACCAGUGGCGAAGGCUGUCUGCUAGAACGCGCCCGACGGUGAGGGAUGAAAGCUGGGGGAGCGAACCGGAUUAGAUACCCGGGUAGUCCCAGCUGUAAACGAUGCAGGCUAGGUGUUUGGACGGCCACGUGCCGUUCUAGUGCCGCAGGGAAGCUGUUAAGCCUGCCGCCUGGGGAGUACGAUCGCAAGAUUGAAACUUAA